rnacentral:rRNA from 1 species
UCCGUAGGGGUAACCUGCGGAGGGAUCAUUACACAAAUAUGAAGGCGGGCUGGAAUCUCUCGGGGUUACAGCCUUGCUGAAUUAUUCACCCUUGUCUUUUGCGUACUUCUUGUUUCCUUGGUGGGUUCGCCCACCACUAGGACAAACAUAAACCUUUUGUAAUUGCAAUCAGCGUCAGUAACAAAUUAAUAAUUACAACUUUCAACAACGGAUCUCUUGGUUCUGGCAUCGAUGAAGAACGCAGCGAAAUGCGAUAAGUAGUGUGAAUUGCAGAAUUCAGUGAAUCAUCGAAUCUUUGAACGCACAUUGCGCCCUUUGGUAUUCCAAAGGGCAUGCCUGUUCGAGCGUCAUUUGUACCCUCAAGCUUUGCUUGGUGUUGGGCGUCUUGUCUCUAGCUUUGCUGGAGACUCGCCUUAAAGUAAUUGGCAGCCGGCCUACUGGUUUCGGAGCGCAGCACAAGUCGCACUCUCUAUCAGCAAAGGUCUAGCAUCCAUUAAGCCUUUUUUCAACUUUUGACCUCGGAUCAGGUAGGGAUACCCGCUGAACUUAAGCAUAUCAAUAAGCGGAGGAA